ACCUGGCUGGCUUAGUCAGCAGAGCAUGCAACUCUCAAUCUCAGGGUUGUGAGUUUGAGUCUCACCUUGGGUA
rnacentral:tRNA from 1 species